AUCCAGCUGACGGGUCCCGAAUAGGACGAAGCGCGCGUCCUGGAU
rnacentral:hammerhead_ribozyme from 1 species